UCUCCAUGUAGAUGAGCGGGACUUUUGGCGUGUAUCGAAAGCACUAUCUCCAACCAGACUCCAUGGAAAUAAUCAACUAUUUUAGCGUGUCUAGAGCAGAUAUU